rfam:Triticum urartu cultivar G1812 contig822052, whole genome shotgun sequence.
CACCGACAUCAGCGAUUCGUUCUGCGAUCCGGCUCCGACGGCGAGGUAGGCAUUCAUGCCCAGCUCUUUCAUCUGCUGCUCGCCAAUCACGCGGGUGGUGAUAUUGCUCCACGCAUCCGCCAGCUGGCGCGCCUGCGAGGCCAGGUAUGCGGCAUUACAGAUGUUUGGCGGCAUAUUGCCGAGAUCUUUCGC